GCCUGGUUGGCUCAGUCAGUAGAGCAGGGGAUUCCUAAUUUUGGAGUCAUGAGUUCAAGCCCCACAUUGGGCA
rnacentral:tRNA from 1 species